ACUCCUACGGGAGGCAGCAGUGGGGAAUAUUGCACAAUGGGGGAAACCCUGAUGCAGCCAUGCCGCGUGUGUGAAGAAGGCCUUGGGUUGUAAAGCACUUUCAGUAGGGAGGAAGGUAGUGUAGUUAACACCUGCACUAUUUGUACGUUACCUACAGAAGAAGCACCGGCUAACUCCGUGCCAGCAGCCGCGGUAAGUACGGAGGGUGCGAGCGUUAAUCGGAAUUACUGGGCGUAAAGCGCAUGCAGGCGGCCUGUUAAGUCAGAUGUGAAAGCCCGGGGCUUAACCUCGGAAUUGCAUUUGAAACUGGCAGGCUAGAGUCUUGUAGAGGGGGUUAGAAUUUCGAGGUGUAGCGGUAGAAAUGCGUAGAGAUCU
rnacentral:rRNA from 1 species